rnacentral:ncRNA from 1 species
UAGAGCGCUUCCCUGUCUUUAGUGGCAGCUCUUUCUAGCAAUAGUUAGAUGUAAACCUGGCUAAUUCGGGGAAAUCUUUAAAAUGAUAAUCCCGAGCUAAAUCGAUACCAUUCGUAUCGUAAACGUGUAGAGACUAUAUACCUGGUCCGCCACUGGCGGAAUGAGAUAGUCCAAGCUUUUUGGAAACAGAAAG